GCAAACCCUAAUCCCUUUCAAUUGACCUUAAUCUCGUCUCUCAAUCUUCUCUCAAUCGAAACCAUAAUCUCUUCAAGCUCUUCUCUCAAUCAUCGACCUUCAUUCUCUCAAUCGAAACCCUAAACCUUUCAAUCGAAACCAGAAUCCCCUUCCUUUAAUCGACAAAAUCUCUUUCUUCACUCGACCCCUAAACCUAGUUCUAAUCUCUGAUGGCUGGAAAAAAGAGAGGACGAGGAUGAGGAAGAGGAGGUGCAAGUUCUUCGCAAGCCAGAACUCCAUCCCCUCUGCCAAAUCGCUAUGAUUUCACUCCGGCGACAACAAACCAAUCUCCUCCUCCGCUUGUCCCCAUGUUCCCACCAUCAAUCUCUAUGAGAGAUUAUCCACCGCCAACGCAACUUUUCCAGAACUCACACAGUCAUAGAAGCAACGAGCCUCAACCUCGCAGCACUCCACUGCCUCAAACUCGUACUUCUCCGCCACCUCAUCCACGAAGCUCUACACACUCUCAAACCGAGACUCUCCAAUGGCUCAAGAACAAACAUCUCCCUCGUCUGAAGCUAACAACUCUCAAGCGGGUGAAAGAGCCACCUUUGAAGCAGAAGAUGUAUUCCCAACCAAUCUCGCGGAAGACCAGAUGCGAAUCCUGAAUGCAUUGCUCACUCAGCCUGGUAGGGAAGCUUAUACGACAGUCAUCUCUCCCAUAAAGAGGCCGAAUACAACAUGGU
rnacentral:lncRNA from 1 species